rnacentral:rRNA from 1 species
UGCAGUCGAGCGGACAGAUGGGAGCUUGCUCCCUGAUGUUAGCGGCGGACGGGUGAGUAACACGUGGGUAACCUGCCUGUAAGACUGGGAUAACUCCGGGAAACCGGGGCUAAUACCGGAUGGUUGUUUGAACCGCAUGGUUCAGACAUAAAAGGUGGCUUCGGCUACCACUUACAGAUGGACCCGCGGCGCAUUAGCUAGUUGGUGAGGUAACGGCUCACCAAGGCAACGAUGCGUAGCCGACCUGAGAGGGUGAUCGGCCACACUGGGACUGAGACACGGCCCAGACUCCUACGGGAGGCAGCAGUAGGGAAUCUUCCGCAAUGGACGAAAGUCUGACGGAGCAACGCCGCGUGAGUGAUGAAGGUUUUCGGAUCGUAAAGCUCUGUUGUUAGGGAAGAACAAGUGCCGUUCAAAUAGGGCGGCACCUUGACGGUACCUAACCAGAAAGCCACGGCUAACUACGUGCCAGCAGCCGCGGUAAUACGUAGGUGGCAAGCGUUGUCCGGAAUUAUUGGGCGUAAAGGGCUCGCAGGCGGUUUCUUAAGUCUGAUGUGAAAGCCCCCGGCUCAACCGGGGAGGGUCAUUGGAAACUGGGGAACUUGAGUGCAGAAGAGGAGAGUG